GACGAACGCUGGCGGCGUGCCUAAUACAUGCAAGUAGAACGCACAGUUUAUACCGUAGCUUGCUACACCAUAGACUGUGAGUUGCGAACGGGUGAGUAACGCGUAGGUAACCUGUCUGGUAGCGGGGGAUAACUAUUGGAAACGAUAGCUAAUACCGCAUAAUAUUAAUUAUUGCAUGAUAAUUAAUUGAAAGGUGCAAUUGCACCACUACCAGAUGGACCUGCGUUGUAUUAGCUAGUAGGUGAGGUAACGGCUCACCUAGGCGACGAUACAUAGCCGACCUGAGAGGGUGAUCGGCCACACUGGGACUGAGACACGGCCCAGACUCCUACGGGAGGCAGCAGUAGGGAAUCUUCGGCAAUGGACGAAAGUCUGACCGAGCAACGCCGCGUGAGUGAAGAAGGGUUUCGGAUCGUAAAGCUCUGUUGUAAGAGAAGAACGGGUGUGAGAGUGGAAAGUUCACACUGUGACGGUAGCUUACCAGAAAGGGACGGCUAACUACGUG
rnacentral:rRNA from 1 species